rnacentral:rRNA from 1 species
CCUACGGGUGACAGCAGUGGGGAAUAUUGGGCAAUGGGCGCAAGUCUGACCCAGCAACGCCGCGUGAAGGAAGAAGGCUCUCUGGGUUUAAACUUCUUUUUAGACGGAAGAGCACAAGACGGUACCUCUUUAAUAAGCCACGGCUAACUACGUGCCAUCAGCUGCGGUAAUACGUAGGGUGCAAGCGUUGUCCGGAUUUACUGGGUGGAAAGGGCGUGCUGGCGGGAAGACAAGUCAGAUGUGAAAUCCCGCGGCUCAAACGCGGAACUGCAUUUGAAACUGUUUUUCUUGAGUACCGGAGGGGUCAUCGGGAUUCCAUGUGUAGCGGUGAAAUGCGUAGGUAUAAGGAAGAACACCAGUGGGGAAGGCGGAUGACUGAACGGAAACUGACGGUGGGGCGAGAAAGCGGGGGGAGCAAACAGGAAUAGAUACCCGGGUAGUC